GACGAACGCUGGCGGCGUGCUUAACACAUGCAAGUCGAACGGUAAGGCCCUUCGGGGUACACGAGUGGCGAACGGGUGAGUAACACGUGGGUGAUCUGCCCUGCACUUCGGGAUAAGCCUGGGAGACUGGGUCUAAUACCGGAUAGGACCACUGCCUGCAUGGGUGGUGGGGGAAAGCUUUUGCGGUGUGGGAUGGGCCCGCGGCCUAUCAGCUUGUUGGUGGGGUAAUGGCCUACCAAGGCGACGACGGGUAGCCGGCCUGAGAGGGUGACCGGUCACACUGGGACUGAGAUACGGCCCAGACUCCUACGGGAGGCAGCAGUGGGGAAUAUUGCACAAUGGGCGCAAGCCUGAUGCAGCGACGCCGCGUGAGGGAUGACGGCCUUCGGGUUGUAAACCUCUUUUAGCUAUGACGAAGCGCAAGUGACGGUAGUAGCAGAAGAAGGACCGGCCAACUACGUGCCAGCAGCCGCAGUAA
rnacentral:rRNA from 1 species